CGGGGUGUGGCGCAGCUUGGUAGCGCACCUGCUUUGGGAGCAGGGGGUCGCAGGUUCAAAUCCUGUCACCCCGA
rnacentral:tRNA from 2 species